rnacentral:rRNA from 1 species
AAUAGAUACCCUGGUAGUCCACGCCGUAAACGAUGUCGACUUGGAGGUUGUUCCCUUGAGGAGUGGCUUCCGGAGCUAACGCGUUAAGUCGACCGCCUGGGGAGUACGGCCGCAAGGUUAAAACUCAAAUGAAUUGACGGGGGCCCGCACAAGCGGUGGAGCAUGUGGUUUAAUUCGAUGCAACGCGAAGAACCUUACCUACUCUUGACAUCCACGGAACUUAGCAGAGAUGCUUUGGUGCCUUCGGGAACCGUGAGACAGGUGCUGCAUGGCUGUCGUCAGCUCGUGUUGUGAAAUGUUGGGUUAAGUCCCGCAACGAGCGCAACCCUUAUCCUUUGUUGCCAGCGGUUAGGCCGGGAACUCAAAGGAGACUGCCAGUGAUAAACUGGAGGAAGGUGGGGAUGACGUCAAGUCAUCAUGGCCCUUACGAGUAGGGCUACACACGUGCUACAAUGGCGCAUACAAAGAGAAGCGACCUCGCGAGAGCAAGCGGACCUCAUAAAGUGCGUCGUAGUCCGGAUUGGAGU